AGCUGUUUUUAGCCCCAAAAAACUGGCCUGAAAACAUUCCCCCAAACGUCCAAAAAACAGGCAUGUGUGGGUCAUCCAUCUGGUCUUUGGAUCUUUGGUGCUCUGGCACAAUGGCAUGCAGGGUCCGGUUGGGCCAAAAAGGUUCUCCAUCCCUGUCCCAGGAGAAGGGAAAAGUCCUCAUUUCAUCUGGAGAGCAAAAGGGGAAAAAAGCUUUCUUUUUUUAAAAAAAACAAAAAAACCCAUUCUUCAUGCAUGCGAUACAGUUUUUGAAUUUUUUUAUUAUUUUCUUCUUUAUUUCCAUCCCUGACAAACAAUUUUAGUACAUUUUCGGCUUUUUGCUGGAUGACUUAACAGAAUGAGAAAGUUUUAGAGAAGGGUGGUUUUUUUUAGUUUACUUUAUUUUAUUUUGUAGCAUAAAACCAGGAAGGUUUUUCUUUUAUCUCCUCCUUUCGUGAUUUUGCUAUAAAACCCUUUUCUCUUUCUUCAGAAGCGACCUUUUGCUAUUUUUAAACUGCCACCUUAUACCUGCUGUAUCUUUCUGUAUUUAUUGUUUCUCUGCCUACUGCAACUGUGAAGCCAAAACCAAUGAUUCUGCUGCUAGUUUUAUCCCAAAUUCUACUUCUGACCUGUCCUCUUCAACUGACUUAUCACGUCGAAUUAUACAGAAACCGCUUGCAGAGAGGAGCGGCUCAGAGGUUACGUCCAAAGGCAGCAGGGUUACGCCGCGUGCCAGACGGCCGAGAAGGUCCUGAGGCUGGAGUGCCAGGGGGGCUGCGGGGACGGCCAGUGCUGCCGGCCGCUCAGGAGCAAGAAGAGGAAGUACCUUUUUGAGUGCACCGACGGCUCCUCCUUCGUGGACGAAGUCGAAAAAGUGCUCCGAUGCGGCUGCACCCAGUGCCUCUCUUAACGACCUGUCCUUUUCCCGUUUUCACUCGUUCCUUUCCGAAAAAAAUCCCCGCACGGGGCCACAUCUCGGACUAAAAGUUACGCUCUGUAGGGGAUAUAUAUUGUAAAAUACAGAACAGGCUUAUUUUUAUUACGAGAAUAAAGAACUGUUUCUUUAACUACAAACAGACGAAAAAGAUAAAAAAAUCAAAAUCGAGUGCGCAAAGAAACUUCUUGCAACUCCAAGGACUUGAAGAAGGAAAUAUGUAUAUGUAAAAAAAAAAAACAGAACCGAUGGAAAUUUUCCAACCAGGAUAGGAAAGAUUCACUACUUUUUAACACCCAGCGUUUUUUCAUCCCGCUUUGAAGCUCAGUUAUCUUUCAGUCUGGUCCUUGGACGGAGGAGGAGGGAGAAUACGCAGCUUUUCCUUUUUAUGUACUUUAACUACAGCUGGGGGUGAGGGAACGCGCUUCACUUCGGCUUGGUUUCAAUUCCUUCCCGAGCCCGAGAAGUUAGGCUCUCUGGCGGAGGAGAUCCGUUUUCUACAAGAUGGAGAGGAAAAAAAAGUGAUGCAUUUUGUACAGUGUAAAAAAAGUUGAGAAAAUGAGAGCUUUUGUUAAUUCACAAUUAUCCUAAGAUCUUCUAACACGAUUUUUUUUUUAAUGUUAGCAUGUUACAAAGAAAAGGAAGGAAGAAAAAGCAUUUACCCACCCUCUUGCAGUAUUAAUUUUUCUUUUUGUAAUAUAAAUGAUAAGAUUGAUAAAAUAGAGUAUUGUCGAGAAAAUUAGAUAUAAUGCGGAGUUUCGUUUCUAUCAAUCCUGAACAGCUCUAUACAGUAUUCUGUUUAUUGAGAAAUAUUUAUUGUAUCAAAGUACACUGUACUUAACAUCUAGGCCAAUCUUUUUACUUCCCCCCAACCCCUCCAAUGCUUUAAUAUAUAUUAAUUUAUAUUUGUCCUGAUAUUUUUGUAUUUUCAGUUGUUUUUUUAAAGAGAGAGAGGAAAACUUAAAAUCAGGAUAUUUGCAAUAGGACUAAUAUAGCAGAUUCUCCCGGGAUAAAUAGAUUUGAUCUGGGUUAAUAUUUUUUACUGCACCACCUGCCAGCUUUCUGACUGUCUUAGGAACGGAAGCUGCAAACAAUCUGAUUAUAAUUUUCAUUAUAACAAGGAAAUAUGACAUCUCUCAAAUCUUUGUAAUAUAUGAGGAAAUUGUCUUUACAAAUAGGUGGCAAAUGUUAUAGGUGUGAUUUCGCCCCCCCUCCUUCUCCCAAGUAUACGCUACUUUUCAGAAAAUGAAAUUAUGUGUUGAAAAUGACACUUAGAAGAUAGAUAUUUUCAAACUAAUGUUCCCUUGGAGUUUCGUACCUUUAAAAUGAAUUAAAGAGGCUGUAUUACCAUUUCCCCCAUUAUUAAAACUACUUUAAACGCCCAGAUAUUUUCCUUUGUUAACAUGUUGCUGCUAAGUAUAAUAUAGAAUUGGUAAUAAUUCUUUAUAGUGGGUUGUUCUCUUUUUUUUUUAAAGUAAAUCAUAGGGUACCCUGUAAAAAAGGGGGGUUUAAUUUCUUUUAUACAAGGAAAAGAUAGUUGUACAUGUGUAAUAUGGUGUUGCUUUGUCUAAUUUGGACGGGGAUCAGUACCUUGACUGAUGUUUGUAAAUUAAACAGAUCCUUUACCUCUGUU